AAAUUGAAGAGUUUGAUCAUGACUCAGAUUGAACGCUGGCGGCAGGCCUAACACAUGCAAGUCGAACGGUAACAGGAAGAAGCUUGCUUCUUUGCUGACGAGUGGCGGACGGGUGAGUAAUGUCUGGGAAACUGCCUGAUGGAGGGGGAUAACUACUGGAAACGGUAGCUAAUACCGCAUAACGUCGCAAGACCAAAGAGGGGGACCUUCGGGCCUCUUGCCAUCGGAUGUGCCCAGAUGGGAUUAGCUAGUAGGUGGGGUAACGGCUCACCUAGGCGACGAUCCCUAGCUGGUCUGAGAGGAU
rnacentral:rRNA from 1 species